AGAGAUUAGUUUGAUCCUGGCUCAGGAUGAACGCUAGCGGCAGGCUUAAUACAUGCAAGUCGUGGGGCAGCACAGUGUAGCAAUACAUGGGUGGCGACCGGCAAACGGGUGCGUAACACGUACGCAACUUACCCAUUACAGAGGGAUAGCCCAGGGAAACUUGGAUUAAUACUUCAUAUUAUAUAGGGCUGGCAUCAGUUUUAUAUCAAAGCUACGGCGGUAAUGGAUGGGCGUGCGGUUGAUUAGAUAGUUGGCGGGGUAACGGCCCACCAAGUCUACGAUCAAUAGCUGAUGUGAGAGCAUGAUCAGCCACACGGGCACUGAGACACGGGCCCGACUCCUACGGGAGGCAGCAGUAAGGAAUAUUGGGCAAUGGACGCAAGUCUGACCCAGCCAUGCCGCGUGAAGGAUGAAGGUCCUCUGGAUUGUAAACUUCUUUUAUCUGGGGCGAAAACAACUCUUUCUAGAGUUCUUGACAGUACCAGAGGAAUAAGCACCGGCUAACUCCGUGCCAGCAGCCGCGGUAAUACGGAGGGUGCAAGCGUUAUCCGGAUUCACUGGGUUUAAAGGGUGCGUAGGCGGGCAGGUAAGUCAGUGGUGAAAUCCCCGAGCUUAACUCGGGAACUGCCGUUGAUACUAUCUGUCUUGAAUACUGUGGAGGUAAGCGGAAUAUGUCAUGUAGCGGUGAAAUGCUUAGAUAUGACAUAGAACACCAAUUGCGAAGGCAGCUUGCUACACGGUCAUUGACGCUGAGGCACGAAAGCGUGGGGAUCAAACAGGAUUAGAUACCCCGGUAGUCCACGCCCUAAACGAUGAUUACUCGACAUCAGCGAUACACUGUUGGUGUCUAAGCUAACGCAUUAAGUAAUCCACCUGGGAAGUACGAUCGCAAG
rnacentral:rRNA from 1 species